AUACAGAGGGUGCAAGCGUUAAUCGGAAUUACUGGGCGUAAAGCGCGCGUAGGCGGUUUAUUAAGUCGGAUGUGGAAGCCCUGGGCUUAACCUGGGAACGGCAUUCGAAACUGGUAGACUAGGGUAUGAUAGAGGAAAGUGGAAUUCCAGGUGUAGCGGUGAAAUGCAUAGAUAUCUGGAGGAACAUCAGUGGCGAAGGCGGCUUUCUGGAUCAAUACUGACGCUGAGGUGCGAAAGCGUGGGGAGCAAACAGGAUUAGAUACCCCAGUAGUCC
rnacentral:rRNA from 1 species